AUUCCUACGGGGGGCAGCAGUGGGGAAUAUUGCACAAUGGGGGAAACCCUGAUGCAGCAACGCCGCGUGAGUGAAGAAGUAUUUCGGUAUGUAAAGCUCUAUCAGCAGGGAAGAAGAAAGACGGUACCUGACUAAGAAGCCCCGGCUAACUACGUGCCAGCAGCCGCGGUAAUACGUAGGGGGCAAGCGUUAUCUGGAUUUAUUGGGUUUAAAGGGUGCGUAGGCGGAUUUUUAAGUCAGCGGUAAAAUGUCCGGGCUCAACCCGGGCCGGCCGCUGAAACUGGG
rnacentral:rRNA from 1 species